rnacentral:rRNA from 1 species
AUGCCUCAACUUGAUAAAUUAACUUAUUUCUCACAAUUCUUCUGGUUAUGUCUUCUCCUCUUUACUUCUUAUAUUCUCUUAUUUAAUAAUAAUAAUGGAAUACUUGGAAUUAGUAGAAUUCUCAAACUACGGAACCAACUGCUUUCGCGCCGGGGGGGCGAGAUCCAGAGCAAGGACCCUAAGAAUCUGGAAGAUAUCUCGAGAAAAGGUUUUAGCACCGGUCUCUCAUAUAUGUACUCCAGUUUAUCCGAAGUAUCCCAAUGGUGUAAGACCGUCGACUAUUUGGGAAAAAGGAGGAAAAUCACUCUGAUCUCUGAUUUCGGAGAAAUAAGUGGCUCACGAGGAAUGGAGAGACAGAUUCUCUAUUUGAUCUCGAAGUCCUCAUAUAACACUUCUUCCAGUCGGAUCACUUGUUGGAAUAAUGCUCACACAUGUUCCACACGGGCAAGGAAGCAUAGUAUUAUGAUGAAAAUGAAUGGAAUACUCGGCAGAAUAGGAAUAUUCCUAUUAAUGAUUGUGACAGCUUUUAUAGGAUACGUACCACCUUGGGGUCAGAUGAGCUUUUGGGGAGCAACAGUAAUUACAAGCUUAGCUAGCACCAUACCAGUAGUAGGAGAUACCAUAGUGACUUGGCUUUCGGGUGGUUUCUCCGUGGACAAUGCCACCUUAAAUCGUUUUUUUAGUCUCCAUCAUUUACUCGUCCUUGUUCUUCCUUCUGAUUUAAACGUUCUCCCCCAGGAGCUGCAGAAUUCUGGCAGGGGCAGCCCCCUUUUCCAGAUCAUGAAAAUGUGGUGGAGAGUGAUGAUGAAUCAACUGAUUCAUCAGGGAGUUCAUCUGAUGAUUCAUCAGCUGAUUCAUCAGGGAGUUCAUCUGAUGAUUCAUCAACUGAUUCAUCGGAUCUCGACACGGAUUAUGAUGAGCUAA